UAGGGUGUAGCUUGGUGGUAGAGCUCUUUCUAGUAUGCACAAGGCCUUGGGUUCAAUCCCCAGCACCCUGC
rnacentral:tRNA from 1 species